CAGGGAUCGCGUCAUGCCUCGCUGUUCUGAUUUUGGGGGAUUUGUCUUAUUAACUGCACUCGUACACCUUUGCUUAAGGGAUGGGCAGCUCACGACGGCAAUUACUGGCUUUUAGAGCCGUUUUACGAAACGCCACGUGGAGCUAUCAGCGGAGAAGAUGAUGGAGAACGCAUUGCGUUAUGAGAAAUGUAUUUGAGAACGACGAGUUGGAUGUGCUUAAGUGCCCUUGAAUGCAUUGUCCUUGAUGCUGACAAACUCUCAGUCAAAGGGAGACUUUGGGGCUUCUUAGGGUUAUAGUGAUGUGGAGGUGCAUUUCCCUCUUAGGUUUUAUGGUCGAGCCUUUACCAGGAGAUUAUAUAGUUUGCUUUUGCAAGGACUCGAGAGAGAUCCGAUAUAUCUCCCUGUUCCAGAGGAAGAUUUGUGAGCUUUGGAAUAUGACUGCUGGUGCCAAACGAAACCAACCCCCCCACUUACACACAAACACACACUUGUGCUUUCAGGUGUUCUAAGAUCGUCUUGAUGCUGAAUGAAAAUCUUUGGAACCAACUAUCUUGAAAGCAACACAAAGAGGGCUGAUGUGGGGAUGUCUUGAAUGUUGUAAAUAAAUAAAUAAAAUUUAAAAUUUAAAA